CAUGAAAGUGAUACUGUAGAAGCUGUUACUGAGCAAGAAGCCCCUACAGAUGUCAAUGAUGCCUACAAGUGGUUCCAUUGGCAAGAACAUAGCUGGUCAGACAAGGUCCCACCCACGACUGACGUUUGAAGGCCAGGUAUGAGAAGGAGCUGGCCAGAGGAUUUGGUGCUAAGCCCCCCUACAUAACUACCACCAAGAAGGAGGAGCCCACACAUGUCUGGAAUCUUCCACUCAUGAAUGGAGGCUCAGCCUGGGCCUCCUGGAAACACAGAAAGCCUUGAAGCUCACCGUGAGGAUGAGGUCAGCCAAAGUCUAAACGGAACCAGAAUUCUUCGGAUUUGCUGCCUCUGUCACUGCUGUUCAAGGAGUUCUGAGCUACCGGAGCAGAAAGUCCCAGUCGCAUCCCCGUCCCAGGGAGCCUCCUUUCUCAGGAUCUGGUCCACUGAACUUUCUCUUCUCUCAUUACCAGCUGCCCGAGGAGUUUAAAGUCGUUACCAGAGGGCUUCAUCUCAGAUAUCCUUGCUUAUUUCCUAGGGCAUAAAAAUGCUGGAUUGAAUUCACUAACAGUAAAUCCAUGUGUGUGUUCUCCUAGGUCAUUUUCACCCAGAUAAAAGCCAGACCAACUCAAUAAAUUAAUUUUUCAUUAA